rnacentral:rRNA from 1 species
AUUGAACGCUGGCGGCAGGCUUAACACAUGCAAGUCGAGCGGAGACUUCGGUCUUAGCGGCGAACGGGUGAGUAAUACCUAGGAAUCUGCCUAUUAGUGGGGGAUAACGAAUCGAAAGGUUCGCUAAUACCGCAUACGUCCUACGGGAGAAAGGGGGGAUCUUCGGACCUCUCGCUAAUAGAUGAGCCUAGGCCGGAUUAGCUAGUUGGGGGGGUAAAGGCCCACCAAGGCGACGAUCCGUAGCUGGUCUGAGAGGAUGACCAGCCACACUGGAACUGAGACACGGUCCAGACUCCUACGGGAGGCAGCAGUGGGGAAUAUUGGACAAUGGGGGGAAACCCUGAUCCAGCCAUGCCGCGUGUGUGAAGAAGGCC